rnacentral:rRNA from 1 species
UGGGGAAUAUUGCACAAUGGGCGCAAGCCUGAUGCAGCCAUGCCGCGUGUAUGAAGAAGGCCUUCGGGUUGUAAAGUACUUUCAGUGGGGAGGAAGGGAGUAUAGUUAAUACCUUUGCCCAUUGACGUUACCCGCAGAAGAAGCACCGGCUAACUCCGUGCCAGCAGCCGCGGUAAUACGGAGGGUGCAAGCGUUAAUCGGAAUUACUGGGCGUAAAGCGCACGCAGGCGGUUUGUUAAGUCAGAUGUGAAAUCCCCGGGCUCAACCUGGGAGCUGCAUCUCAUACUGGCAAGGUUGAGUCUCGUAGAGGGGGGUAGAAUUCCCGGUGUAGCGGUGAAAUGCGUAGAGAUAUGGAGGAAUACCGGUGGCGAAGGCGGCCCCCUGGACGAAGACUGACGCUCAAGUGCGAAAGCGUGGGGAGCAAACAGG